AGUGUACGCUGGCGGUAGGCCUAACACAUGCAAGUCGAACGGCAGCACAGGAGAGCUUGCUCUCUGGGUGGCGAGUGGCGGACGGGUGAGGAAUACAUCGGAAUCUGCCCAGUCGUGGGGGAUAACGUAGGGAAACUUACGCUAAUACCGCAUACGACCUUCGGGUGAAAGAGGGGGAUCGCAAGACCUCUCGCGAUUGGAUGAGCCGAUGUCGGAUUAGCUAGUUGGCGGGGUAAUGGCCCACCAAGGCGACGAUCCGUAGCUGGUCUGAGAGGAUGAUCAGCCACACUGGAACUGAGACACGGUCCAGACUCCUACGGGAGGCAGCAGUGGGGAAUAUUGGACAAUGGGCGCAAGCCUGAUCCAGCCAUACCGCGUGGGUGAAGAAGGCCUUCGGGUUGUAAAGCCCUUUUGUUGGGAAAGAAAUCUUUCAGGCUAAUACCCUGGGAGGAUGACGGUACCCAAAGAAUAAGCACCGGCUAACUUCGUG
rnacentral:rRNA from 1 species